UUAGAGUUUGAUCCUGGCUCAGGAUGAACGCUGGCGGCGUGCUUAACACAUGCAAGUCGAACGAAGAUACUUAAAAUGAGAGCUUCGGCAGGAAUUUUAUUUAUCUUAGUGGCGGACGGGUGAGUAACGUGUGGGCAACCUGCCCUAUACUGGGGAAUAAUCACUGGAAACGGUGACUAAUACCGCAUGUCAUUACGGAAGGGCAUCCUUCUGUAAGAAAAGGAGUAAUUCGGUAUAGGAUGGGCCCGCAUCUGAUUAGCUAGUUGGUGAGAUAACAGCCCACCAAGGCGACGAUCAGUAGCCGACCUGAGAGGGUGAUCGGCCACAUUGGGACUGAGACACGGCCCAAACUCCUACGGGAGGCAGCAGUGGGGAAUAUUGCACAAUGGGGGAAACCCUGAUGCAGCAACGCCGCGUGAAGGAAGAAGGUUUUCGGAUCGUAAACUUCUAUCAACAGGGACGAAGAAAGUGACGGUACCUGAAUAAGAAGCCCCGGCUAACUACGUGCCAGCAGCCGCGGUAAUACGUAGGGGGCAAGCGUUAUCCGGAAUUACUGGGUGUAAAGGGAGCGUAGGCGGCACGCCAAGCCAGAUGUGAAAGCCCGAGGCUUAACCUCGCGGAUUGCAUUUGGAACUGGCGAGCUAGAGUACAGGAGAGGAAAGCGGAAUUCCUAGUGUAGCGGUGAAAUGCGUAGAUAUUAGGAAGAACACCAGUGGCGAAGGCGGCUUUCUGGACUGAAACUGACGCUGAGGCUCGAAAGCGUGGGGAGCAAACAGGAUUAGAUACCCUGGUAGUCCACGCCGUAAACGAUGAGUGCUAGGUGUCGGGGAGGAAUCCUCGGUGCCGCAGCCAACGCAAUAAGCACUCCACCUGGGGAGUACGACCGCAAGGUUGAAACUCAAAUGAAUUGACGGAAGGGCG
rnacentral:rRNA from 1 species